GUUGUUAUUUAUGUAUUAUUGUCAUUUUGUUUAUUUUCUUUGGUUACAUCUUCUGACAUCAGACUCGGAUUUCUCUUGAACUGAAUUUUAAUGUGCGUAUUGUUAUGCGUUUUUACUUUACUACAUUGGUUAGAGGUAUAGGGGGAGGGUUGAGAUCUCACAAACAUGUUUAACCCCGCCGCAUUUUUGCGCCUGUCCCAAGUCAGGAGCCUCUGGCAUUUGUUAGUCUUGUAUUAUUUUAAUUUUAGUUUCUUGUGUACAAUUUGGAAAUUAGUAUGGCGUUCAUUAUCACUGGACUAGUAUAUAUUUGUUUAGGGGCCAGCUAAAGGACGCCUCCGGGUGCGGGAAUUUCUCGCUACAUUGAAGACCUGUUGGUGACCCUCUGCUGUUGUUUUUUAUUUGGUCGGGUUGUUGUCUCUUUGACACAUUCCCCAUUUCCAUUCUCAAUUUUAU
rnacentral:lncRNA from 1 species